rnacentral:rRNA from 1 species
GAUGAACGCUAGCGGCAGGCUUAAUACAUGCAAGUCGAGGGGCAGCAUGAUUGUAGCAAUACAAUUGAUGGCGACCGGCAAACGGGUGCGGAACACGUACACAACCUUCCAAUAAGUGGGGAAUAGCCCAGAGAAAUUUGGAUUAAUACCCCGUAACAUAACGAUGUGGCAUCACAUUGUUAUUAUAGAUUUUUCGCUUAUUGAUGGGUGUGCGGCUGAUUAGAUAGUUGGCGGGGUAACGGCCCACCAAGUCUACGAUCAGUAGCUGAUGUGAGAGCAUGAUCAGCCACACGGGCACUGAGACACGGGCCCGACUCCUACGGGAGGCAGCAGUAAGGAAUAUUGGACAAUGGACGCAAGUCUGAUCCAGCCAUGCCGCGUGAAGGAUUAAGGUCCUCUGGAUUGUAAACUUCUUUUAUAAGGGACGAAAAAAGGCUUUUCUAAGUCGUCUGACGGUACCUUAUGAAUAAGCACCGGCUAACUCCGUGCCAGCCGCCGCAGUAACAC